UGGGUUUGACAUGUACGUAGUAGUGAAGGGAAACUGGAACGAGCCUUCGGGCAGCGUACAC
rnacentral:rRNA from 1 species